CAUGACUAAGUCUAGCUGUCACAUGGGUAGUUUGGUGCCCGCAAGACUUUUAAAGGUGCGGGUGCUGUUACAGCCUGGCUGUGUCCUAAGCACUGGGCAUUGUCACUAGGGGACCAAGUGUGGCUGUGCCACCACUCUGCACUGUGCCGGAGCAACGAUGAAACAUGCAGAGAAUGACACAGAGGAGAGUGACCCUGUCGGGGGAGCAGAUGAACAAUGGGAAUGCGAGGUCACCUGGCAGGAUGAUGGAGGGGACAGGGAAAGCGUCUGUGAAAGCUUUCAGCUCCUGCAGAUUGACACAGGCUGUGACACCCCGAAGGACCUUCCUGUGGGGAGCGAGAAGUGGUACUCGAAGAAUGUUUUGAGGAAACAGAGGCAUUGGGAGAAAAUAGUUACGGCAAAGAAGAAGAAGAGAAAACAGGAAAAAGAGAGGAGAAAAGCUAAACACGCUGAAGAUAAAGGCGUUGCUCACCAGCACAGCAAACGUGUUUUAAAAGCGAUCGCCAAGGAGCGGCUUCUGGCAGCCAAAGAGGCAGCACCCUGGCUGUGUAUAGAUCUGAGUAUGACCAGCCACAUGACACAGAAGGAAAUAAGUCGCCUUGCCGCUCAGAUAAGGAGGCUGUAUGGUUCCAACAAGAAAGCUGGAAAGCCGUUUUGGAUUUGCCUUACUGGAUUUGUGGCAGGCAGUCCUAUUUCUGAAGAGUGCUUACGAAUGAACGAUGGGUUUUCCAAUUACCUCAUGGAUACCACUCCAGAAAGUUACCUUGACCUAUUUCCUUUAGAGACAAUUGUCUACCUCACUCCUGACUCUGAGAAUGCUCUGCAGGACAUUGACCCUCACAGAGUGUAUGUCCUCGGCGGGCUCGUGGAUGAAAGCAUUCAGAAGAAACUGACCUUGCAGAAGGCACAGGAGCACUCCUUGCAGACAGCUCGGCUGCCCAUUGCCGAGUACAUGGUGAAGAACACCAACGUGAAGAACUAUCAUUCGGAGACAUUAGCAAUCAAUCAAGUCUUUGAUGCCUUAUCAACUUACUAUGAGACCCAGAACUGGCCAGAAGCAUUGAAAGCUGGAGUUCCGCCUGGAAAAGGCUACGUUCUCCAGGAAACAGCUCUAUGAUGGAAAAUGCAUCUGCUUAGCAACACGCAAGAAGACUCUUUAUUCUGUGAUGUUAAUGGGCUGCACAGCCAAAAGAAGCAAACUCCUCCCUCGUUAUUUCAAGCACAGGUAUCAGCGUAGCUUGUGUUCAGAGAAAUGUGGCUUACAUGGCAUAAGGAGCUCCUCAGUUUCAUACAUUCUACCUCACUGGUGUAUUGCUGGAAAACAAGGGUCAUCCCUGGGCUUCAAAUACAGAGAACUUGUCAUUUCUUGCUGAUGUUCUGUUAGUGUUUUGGAAAUGUCUGCACUACUGUACUACCAGUUCCUCUUGGGGCAGGGAGAAGAUGUACAAAAAUCCCUUAAGGUUUUGACUGUCAUGUUAAUGACAAGUAGGCAGUGUGGGGUUAAAGUAGUUAAUUACACCAGUGUAGCAGUCAACUGGACUCAUCUUUUCACAGGUAAAACACAGUGCCCUUAUUUAGGAAAAUUUCUCUUGUAAUGCUCUACUCAUAUUUCUGCUACUUAACAUCCAGGGCCAGCGCUUCCAUUAAGCGACCCUUGGUGGUUGCCUAGGGCGCCAGGAUUCGAGGGGCGGCAUUUUGUGCGCUCCCCAUAGGAGCAUCAGUUCUGCUCCCAUCGUGCCGCCAAAGAAGGACCUUCUGCCAAUGUGCCGCGGAAAACAGUGGCAGGAAAUUGAGCAGCUCAAUGACUGCUGCUGUCGCCUGUGGCAUUUCGGCGGAGGGUCUUUCUUCGGCGGUGUGAUGGGAGCGGAACCAGAAGCUCCCACGAGCCCCAUGGGGAGCGCACAAAAUGCCGCCCCACAAAUUCUGCCUAGGGUGCCAGAAGCUGAGGCGCCGCUCCUGUUAACAUCUAAUUAAUGUCAUAAUAGAAUAUUUAUUCUUGGAUUUCCCCUAUCCCACCACUAACCAUUGAUGGCUGCCCUCUUGAAACAUUCAGUAGGAUGAAAACAGUUCUUGCAGGGAAGAUGCCCCAAAUCAAUACUGUCACCCCAAUUUACCUAUUCACCUUCUGAAAGCUGUGAUGUGUUAUACUGCCAGGAUAUAGUCCAGGAACAAAGGAAGCAUAAACGUUUUUAAGUAUAAAGGGAAGUUUGUUAGCUCAUGCAAUGCUGUUGCUACCUACUUUUGUUGAACACACUCCUCCUCCCUCCCCACAUUUAAAUGGGGGAAAACCCACCAAAACUAGAUUUAGAAGGCCUGAGUCUCAUUCCAGGGGGUGCUGUGUGCACUGCAGCUUGUCGCAAUGCACUAGCUUACUGUACCUAGCUCACUAAAAGAAGAAGUGAGGAUGCUGCAGCAUGAGUUUCUGUGUAGGCUACAUAAGUGAGUGUACAUGGGCAGUGGGCCAGGCAGGCAUGCUUCUGAAACCCACCCUGGGGCAUCCUUUCUCUGCUGUUUUCUAAAGUGCAGGUAUGUGUACAUAAGCGGCAAAUAACACCCACAGCUGCUGUGCAGCCACACCCUAGGACUCCUUUAUGUGGCCAGGGAUGUGAAUGGGGCCUUAAUGUAACUGAGAGUUUGCGCCCAAAGUAUUUAAAGACUUAGCUAACAAAUAGUACAGAACAGCUGCAGGUGCUAUUGCUGGCUGCAAUGUUUAUGCCUGGGGGAAUUGUGCACAUAUGCAGCAUUCAUGGGCCAAGAGGAAUUUUUUUUUCCCUGCAGUAAAUAACUUGUGAGGGAAAUUUGCUGACGUUAUGCCUUUUGCCUACCAGAGGCCACUGUGUCACUAGACCCAAACAGCUGCUCCAGGGCCAGCCCCAGCUGCUGAUAGGGAAGAGAAGGUAGCACCAUGCCCAUGGGGCCAGGUCAGGAGACAGGGUAUGGGAGGUUAGAGGGGGAAGGAAAGAGACAGAGUGUGGGGCAUAUGGGGCUGCUGGUGGUGUGUGUGUCACAGACAGGUUCAUAAGGGAUAUUGAGGGAGGACAGACUGGGGCAGGGGCUAAAUGGGAGUGGAGGUGCAGGGCCCUGAGGGACACAGGGGAGGAGGUGCAGGGACACAUAGGGAUGAGUGGUAUCUGCAUCGAGGCACAGGGCUACCUGGGGUUGUGGGGUGUAGACACACAUGGGGGUAAGGAGGUAGCUGAGUGGGGGCACAGGGACACAUGGGGUGGGGGUGCAGGGACAUAUGGGGGUAUGGGGUAGCUGUGUGGAGGUGUGGGGCACAGGGACAUGUGGGGAUGAGGGGUAACUGGGGGCACAGGGACAUGUGGGGUGGGGGUGCAGGGACACGGGAGUGGGGUAUAGAGACAGAGGGGUGGAAGGACACAUGGAGUUGGGGGUGCAUGGCCCUAUGGGGACAGGCAGAUGUGCCUGACUGAAUGGGAGCACCCAGGAGCUGCACAGCAGAGGCUCCCUAACAAUCUCCCUGUCCCCAUCAAAAAAACUUGUUCCAUACUUCUCCCACCCACACCCAACAAUACCUCCAAAUUCACACUCAGGCCCCUUCCCAGCAAUUACUUCCCUCAGCUCCUCUGUUACCCCUAACUCCCCCAAGCCUUUGCACUGCUUUGGGGUUGCUGGUGGUGGUGAGAAAUACAGUUCUGUACUGCAGUUUAAAUGAAUUAUUACACAGAGGUCUGUAUUUAUAGGCUUAGUAAGGCACCUAUUUGUCAAAAAACAUUUCCUGAAUCUUUUUUAGUGUCCAUAUUGUUACAGACAUACUUGCUGACACCUAU